UGGAGAUCGAUCUCGUCUUAUUCGCAGGAAACGCCAGAUGGCGCAUCUCCUCAUUUGGUAGGCAGAAGACUGCGUUUUUGAAUCAACAGAAUCCUCACUGUCGAAUUUUCCGAGGUGGUCCAGUUGCUUAGCCAGCAAGAUCACAAAAUCUUUCGCCUUUGGACUACUUUCUCUGUAGUGAAAUGGAACACACGCCUCUAUUGUGCACACGCAUAAUGUCGAAAGUUAAUUCACGGCAUACGUCCUCUCGUCUUCACUGUACGAAGCACACAAUGGUUUAAAUGUCAUCUUAUGAGACGCAUGAGAUAUCAUUUAGAUAAGCAGCCGUAUGUUUGUAAUGUAUAUGGAUUAAGAUACUCAAGAACGGAUUCCCUGAGGAGACAUAAGGUGAAACAUAUUCUUGUGGAUAAGAUACACAGAUCAUAUUUAUGUGAUGUAUGUGGUAAGGGAUUCUCAAAUAGAACCUAUCUCAAAAGGCAUUCUAUUGUGCAUGGAAAUGGAAAGUCAUAUUUGUGUGAUCGGUGUGGAAAAACAUUUACUCAGUUGGGUGAUAUGGAACGACAUGCAACAGUGCAUACAGGUCGAGAAUCGCAGAAACGUGACACACGUGGAAAGUCUUUUCAGGAGCGAAUGAGCCUUCUAAGGCAUUAGGUACACCAGAGAAAUAAAAUUUGCUUUACUGUAAUACAUGUGGUAGAAGCUUUACACGUAAGGACUGUCUUCAAUCUCAAAUAUUUCGACAUGUGGCACAAAAAUUAUUUGUUUGUACGUCUUGCGGAAGGAAUUACACAGAUUAAGGGUAAGAUUUCACGUUCACACAGCGGCAGAUACGAAGAUUACUAUUCUGGGAUGUCGCUCCCUUCCACUUCUUCACUGUAUUCAAUGGAGUGAUCCAACGGGAAGAUGUUUCCAGAAGUUUCGUAUCUAGAAGUCCAGACCGUAAUUGCAUUGUUUGCCGAAAUGCUGGUUAACAUGAAACAUUCAACUCCCACCGAGGAAACCUACGGCCAAGUUUAGUUCAGUUAUCUGUGCACUAGAAGGCAGACAUAUUAUCGCUGACUGCAAAAGGACGCUUAUAUCAUUGUCCACGUUUGUUCAGAAGUGUGAAGUAAUAUCAGUACGAUUCUCUCAAGCUAAUUUCCUAUUCAAUACACCAAUCAAGAUGUGUGAUGAACGAGAUUCAUACGUUCAAAUAAUGUUGCAGUCUCCCGCAAAAAGAGUGCCAAAAAUUGUAUUACACAGAGCUGAAGAAAUAUU